GGCUAGACUGCCUGUGUUGACACAGGUGUGCUGUGGGGGUCUUCCCCCUUAAUGAGCCCAUCUAUGAGCCUGGCAGAACAGCAGUUACACAUUUGGGGGUAUGGCAAGGCUGCUAUGGCCCAGAUCCUCAAAGGGAUGAAACCCGCAAGAGGGGGCUGUAGCAACACCACAGCACAUGGAUCCUUUCGGAUCCCACACGCGGACUGGCUUUCACGGCACUGCCAAACCCACCCGGUCCCAGCUCCGGCCUCCAGCAGGGCCUGCAGCCCUGUCAACGCACCCAUCUGAGUUUGUUGCUAAAAAGAGACACUCCCUGCCCCACUUCCCUGCCCUUCCCUGGGACAGCAGCGGGGCUGGGGCACCCCGACAGCCAGGGUGAGGACAGCGGGGCUCCGGUGAUCUGAGGGUGUGUCACCCAGGCACUCUGCUUUAUAACCAUAUAUGUAGAGAAUUACGGUACCUGACAUGAGAAUUUCUAUGGGUGUUUGCUGUGUUUGAUCUAGUAUCUUGGCAUUAGUCAAUUUGUUCUAAUAUCCUGGCACAAAGGCAUGUGCAUUAG